rnacentral:rRNA from 1 species
CAGAACGAACGCUGGCGGCAUGGAUUAGGCAUGCAAGUCGAACGCCUGUAGCAAUACAGGAGUGGCGAAAGGGUGAGGAACACGUGAGUAACCUACCCCCAAGUUGGGAAUAACGCCGGGAAACUGGCGCUAAUACCGAAUGUGGCUGAUGAACCGCAUGGUUUAUCAGCUAAAGAUUUAUCGCUUGGGGAGCGGCCGAUAUCAGAUUAGGUAGUUGGUGGGGUAAAGGCUCACCAAGCCAACGAUCUGUAGCUGGUCUGAGAGGACGACCAGCCACACUGGGACUGAGACACGGCCCAGACUCCUACGGGAGGCAGCAGUAAGGAAUAUUGGGCAAUGGACGCAAGUCUGACCCAGCCAUGCCGCGUGAAGGAUGAAGGCCCUCUGGGUUGUAAACUUCUUUUAUCUGGGGCGAAAGGCGGUUAUUCUUAGCCGUUUGACAGUACCAGAGGAAUAAGCACCGGCUAACUCCGUG